UAGUGGCGAACGGGUGAGUAACACGUGAGUAACCUGCCCUUGACUCUGGGAUAAGCCUGGGAAACCGGGUCUAAUACCGGAUAUGACCUGUCACCGCAUGGUGGUGGGUGGAAAGAUUUUUUGGUCUUGGAUGGACUCGCGGCCUAUCAGCUUGUUGGUGGGGUAAUGGCCUACCAAGGGCAGACGACGGGUUAGCCGGCCUGGAGAGGGUGACCGGCCACACGUGGGACUUGAGACACGGCCCAGACUCCUACGGGAGGCAGCAGUUGGGGAAUUAUUGCACAAUGGGCGCAAGCCUGAUGCAGCGACGCCGCGUGGAGGGAUGAAUGCCUUCGGGUUGUAAACCUCUUUCAGCAGGGAAGAAGCGAAAGUGACGGUACCUGCAGAAGAAGCGCCGGCUAACUACGUGCCAGCAGCCGCGGUAAUACGUAGGGCGCAAGCGUUGUCCGGAAUUAUUGGGCGUAAAGAGCUCGUAGGCGGUUUGUCGCGUCUGCUGUGAAAGCCCGGGGCUCAACCCCGGGUCUGCAGUGGGUACGGGCAGACUAGAGUGCAGUAGGGGAGACUGGAAUUCCUGGUGUAGCGGUGAAAUGCGCAGAUAUCAGGAGGAACACCGAUGGCGAAGGCAGGUCUCUGGGCUGUAACUGACGCUGAGGAGCGAAAGCAUGGGGAGCGAACAGGAUUAGAUACCCUGGUAGUCCAUGCCGUAAACGUUGGGCACUAGGUGUGGGGGACAUUCCACGUUUUCCGCGCCGUAGCUAACGCAUUAAGUGCCCCGCCUGGGGAGUACGGCCGCAAGGCUAAAACUCAAAGGAAUUGACGGGGGCCCGCACAAGCGGCGGAGCAUGCGGAUUAAUUCGAUGCAACGCGAAGAACCUUACCAAGGCUUGACAUGGGCCGGACCGGGCUGGAAACAGUCCUUCCCUUCGGGGCCGGUUCACAGGUGGUGCAUGGUUGUCGUCAGCUCGUGUCGUGAGAUGUUGGGUUAAGUCCCGCAACGAGCGCAACCCUCGUUCCAUGUUGCCAGCGCGUAAUGGCGGGGACUCAUGGGAGACUGCCGGGGUCAACUCGGAGGAAGGUGGGGACGACGUCAAAUCAUCAUGCCCCUUAUGUCUUGGGCUUCACGCAUGCCUACAAUGGCCGGUACAAUGGGUUGCGAUACUGUGAGGUGGAGCUAAUCCCAAAAAGCCGGUCUCAGUUCGGAUUGGGGUCUGCAACUCGACCCCAUGAAGUCGGAGUCGCUAGUAAUCGCAGAUCAGCAACGCUGCGGUGAAUACGUUCCCGGGCCUUGUACACACCGCCCGUCAAGUCACGAAAGUUG
rnacentral:rRNA from 1 species